ACGACACGAUACCAAGGCGACGUCAGGAAACUGACGGACGGAGGUGCCCUGAUAACGGGGGCCGGUCUGAUGACCGCAAACAGUUCAGAGAACUGAUUUGAUACCUCUCAACAACUCAACCUUUUAUCGCCCCGGUGCUCAGGUAUCUGUCA
rfam:Proteus mirabilis strain HI4320, complete genome